rnacentral:lncRNA from 1 species
GGGCUCCUGGCUGCAAUCUGCAUCUGCCAAAGCAUGCUCAGAGCAUUUUGGUAAGCUAGCAGGAUUGCAGCCAAUAUUGCUGCUAUUCCCAGUUAAAUGUACCUUUAAGGUAUCACACAGGAAACUACUCAUUCUUUCUCCUGUUAAUUUGGCAGGUGCCAAGGGUCUCCACUUCAGCCCACUGAAGUGGUCAGAGUUUGCAGGAUAUGGCUUUGGACCAAUGCGGGAGAAGCAGCUGGCCCACUGCUGCCUCACUAUUGACCCACGUGCACAGCCUGGCUAAGAAUGGUUUCAAUACACAGUCAGCCAUCAAUCUGCUCUGUGACAUCAGGCAAGCAGACCAAACGGAGCUGAAGGGACCAGUCUGAGAUCACCCAGCUGGUCAAGGAAGGGUAUGAAGCAGUCAUUACCCUCCAGUCCCCCCUCAUCCUCCCAGCAGAGCCCUGCUCCUGUAAAAGAAGCAGUCAGGGAUGAAUCAAACCCAGCAAACUCCUCCCAGAGAAGCAUUAUGAGAACUGCCUAAGUGAGGAGCAGCCAAAACCUUUUGGGAAAGGGGCACUGGGGAGUCCCAUCACCCUCCAUCCCCAUAAGAUGUGCUCCAUCAUUUGCAAUGGGCUCAUACAGGGAAGUCACAGGAAGGUGGCCUGUCCAUGAGAAUGGUGUGUUGCUGCUCCAACCAGCUCUCCAUUCAUUUGGAACACAAUGGGAGAAGCAAGAAGGAGCCGGGCUGCCUUUCAGGCUUCACCAGGAAUCAUGGAGAGAGACAGACUCGAUGCUCUGCAUGGCACCGGGAAGGAGCCACCUCUGGAUGCAAUGCUCAGCGCACACAGAAGCCUGGCCACAAACACGACCAGUCAUUCGGAGUACCGAAACAAUUCAGCUUCAGCACUGCAAGAGGAAGCCCCAGCCAUUUGCACAAGGAAGCAAUCCAAGCAGCAGGUUCAAAUCUUUGCUUGAGCUGGAUGUGAUGUUUUCACAGCCAUGCAGGGUGCUGCAAUCACACCCUGUGGCCCCAUAUGCACAACACAAAGACAGAUUACCGUGCAGACUGCUGGGGAAAGGCAAAUAUUAGAGACCUUAGGGAAAGGAAGAGUAGCCUGGUUACUCCUACCGUGACAAAACAGCUCUCCGUUGGUGUUCCCUCAUCUCUCUAACUCAAACAUUCCAGCAGAAGUUAAUGGAUAUGGCUCAUUUAUAUGCCCAUCUUCACAAACAGCAUUACCAAGUUGUAAAACCGUAUCCAUACUGAUCACCUAACCAAGUUGGGGGGGGGUCAUUGGUGCCAGCAGGAGGCAGACUGAGGGCAGAGGGUGCUUUAGAGGAGCUUCAGAAACCUGAGAGGCCUGACAUCCCUGUUUCCAAGUAGUUGCCAACUCUUUUUCAAUACAAAGGAGAAACUGGCAGAUUAGAACAAGAAAAUAAAUGACCUCAUUGGUGUUAGAUCUGUGUGGUU